rnacentral:rRNA from 1 species
UCAGAACGAACGCUGGCGGCAGGCCUAACACAUGCAAGUCGAGCGGCAGCACGGGAAGCUUGCUUCCUGGUGGCGAGCGGCGGACGGGUGAGUAAUGCAUAGAAAUCUGCCCGGUAGUGGGGGAUAACCUGGGGAAACCCAGGCUAAUACCGCAUACGUCCUACGGGAGAAAGCAGGGGAUCUUCGGACCUUGCGCUAUCGGAUGAGUCUAUGUCGGAUUAGCUUGUUGGUGAGGUAAUGGCUCACCAAGGCGACGAUCCGUAGCUGGUCUGAGAGGAUGAUCAGCCACAUCGGGACUGAGACACGGCCCGAACUCCUACGGGAGGCAGCAGUGGGGAAUAUUGGACAAUGGGCGAAAGCCUGAUCCAGCCAUGCCGCGUGUGUGAAGAAGGCCUUCGGGUUGUAAAGCACUUUCAGUGGGGAAGAAGGCCUUGGGGCUAAUACCCUCGAGGAAGGACAUCACCCACAGAAGAAGCACCGGCUAACUCCGUGCCAGCAGCCGCGGUAAUACGGAGGGUGCAAGCGUUAAUCGGAAUUACUGGGCGUAAAGCGCGCGUAGGCGGUCUGAUAAGCCGGUUGUGAAAGCCCCGGGCUCAACCUGGGAACGGCAUCCGGAACUGUCAGGCUAGAGUGCAGGAGAGGAAGGUAGAAUUCCCGGUGUAGCGGUGAAAUGC